AUGGCAUGGCGGGCUGCAGGUCCGGAGCCCUGCCGCGCGGGAGGCGGCUGAGGCCCCAUGAGAAUUCGAGCGUGGCAGAGGCAGGCUGGCAGUCCUGGGGGACCCGGCGCACCCUCUGCAGCUGCUGGCUCGGGUGCUAAGCCCCUCACUGCCUCGGGCCAGCGGUGCCGACCGGCUGCUCCGAGUGCGGGGCGGGCGGAGCCCGCGCCCACCUGGAACUCGCGCUAGCCCGCCAGCGCCAAGCGCAGCCCCGGUUCCUGCCCGCGCCUCUCCCUCCACACCUCCCCGGAAGCAGAGGGAGCCAGGCCCACAGUGCAGCGGCGGACUGAAGGGCUCCUCAAGCGCUGCCAGAGUGGACGCCGAGGCCGAGGAGGCGCCAAGAGCGAGUGAGGGCUGCUAGCAGGCAAAGUUGGACAUCCCAAAGAUGGCGUAGAUGAACAUGACCAGGAAGAGCAGGAGGCCAAUAUUAAACAACGCAGGAAGGGACAUCAUCAAAGCAAAGAGCAGCGUGCGGAUCCCUUUUGCUCCUUUGAUCAGACGUAGGAUUCGGCCAAUCCUGGCAAGACGGAUCACUCGGAACAGGGUAGGGGACACGAAAUACUUUUCUAUCAGCUCGGCAAGAAACAUACCUAUGAAUAAACAAUGAGAAUACCAACCAGUGAAGAAAUCAUGCGUUAAAAUAAACAUAUGUUUCUUCUAAAGCUCCAAGUGAAACAAGCUUCCGGUUCAAGGGUUUCUUCAGGUUCCACUACAGGCUGUUCUUCUGCAGGUGCGCCAAUGUCCACAGUGCUACCUUCUGAUGAGCUACUGCUUUCAUUCAGUUUCUGCUGACUUAAUAUGUGAGCUGACAGAAUGCAGAGACCACGUUGUAUAUGAAGCAUCCACUUUGCCUUGUACACCAGGGCAUUCAAUAACCACUUAAUAACUACAACCCUGAUGGAGUGAUGGUGAGGAGGAAUUGUGCCAGCUUGCUUCUUCACUGCCAUUUUGGAACCAGAACUCAGAACCUGAGAAAGAUGAAUGAAAUUUAAUGUUUCCCGUCCCCGAGAGACACCCAGCAUCCACAACUUCACACUCUGAUGCCAUUGUGUAUUUAUGCGAGGAAUACCAUAACUAAGAUGAGGUCUCGCUAUGUUGCCUAGGCUAGUCUUGAACUCCUGGCCUCAAGUGAUCCUUCUGCCUCAGCAUCGGGAGUCACUGGGAUUAAAGGAACUUGACAUCAUCAGACAGUAAAUCAAGAGGCACUGACAAGUGAGGCUGAGUGAUGGUCCCUGCCUAGGAUUUGGAAUCUUUACAUGAAAUAGGGACUCUAACCACCAGCGACAAAGAAGUCAGGGAGACUUGUCUCUAGGAAGCACUUCUAGGAAACAGGAAUUCAGGCAAAGUUGGACAUUCCAAAGAUGGCAUAGAUGAACAUGACCAGGAAGAGCAGGAGGCCGAUAUUAAACAACGCAGGAAGGGACAUCAUCAAAGCAAAGAGCAGCGUGCGGAUCCCCUUUGCUCCUUUGACUAGACGUAGGAUUCGGCCAAUCCUGGCAAGACGGAUCACUCGGAACAGGGUAACAGAGAUCUCUGGAGGUGAAACAUUGCUCUGAACUGGCAUUGAUUCUAGCUCAGCUCUUGUAGACCAAUUACCAACUUCUCCGUCUCCCUCCAGUGCCUGGAACUGGACCUGGCACACAGGCAAAGGGUUAUCAACUGUGCUGCACUCUGAGGAGCUUGACCGGUUUAAUCUCUAGAAAGGAAUUCACCACCCCACCAGCACGCGGAACACAAUCAGGAAGGAGUGGAAGAAGUCGUUCAUGUGCCACCGUGGGAGCGUACAGUCAUCAUUGAUCUUGCAGACACAUUCUUUGUAGCUCUUACCAAAGAGCUGCAUGCCGACCACAGCAAAAAUGAAGACGAUGAUGGCCAACACUAAGCCUUUAGACUAAAAAGAAAACAAAUAUUACAUACCCUGAAUCUGUGCUGAAACCACAAAGGAGAGCAUCUUUGGAUCCCUCCAAGUAAUAAAAGUAUUCUGUUGAAGAAGAAUUUGAACAGUUAUAACAUUACAGAGUUUAAUCUGUGAUUGUGAUAAAGCAGGUCAAAUUAAAAAAUCUGAUUAUUAGGAGACUUUUGGAGUAAUCAUGGAAGAAAGACUAUGACAUCAGAUAUUCUUGGAUUUGAAUGUUGCUUCUAUCCCUUCUUAAGUAAGAUGUGCCUUGCUUCCCCUUUGCCUUCAACCAUGAUUGUAAGUUUCCUGAGGCCUCCCCUGCCAUUCAGAACUGUAAAUUGGAGAGAAUUUACAAUUCAUUUUAUUAAUAUUUCUUCUUCAAGGGACCAUCUGACACACUGCAAACACUCAAAGUUACGCAUAAGAAGAUAUUGAGACUUCCACAUUAAUCAAACUGAAAAGUAAGAAAAGGAAUUCCAAAGAAGAGCCUAUUUUAGAACUAUGAGCAUUCAACUGAAAACGGGUCUCCAGAUUUCUGUGCUGCUCCAUUCUGUUGCCACCAAAACAAUUGAUAACUGGUAUCAUUUUUGUGCAAGUGAGACGUGCCAUGUUAGUGCUUUUUAACUUAAGAGUGUUUGAAGUUGUUCAAAUAAUAAACUGUUUUCUCUAAAUCAAGAUUUAAAAGUUCCAAGAUCGAUAUCUUUCCAUUGUGUCUGUUUUUUUUUUCUUUCUUUCUUAUUAAAGCAUCACAAAUUUCUUUUGAAAAAAGAUCUGUGCUUGCUGGGCAUGGUGGCUAAUGUCUGUAAUCCCAGCACUUUGGGAGGCCGAAGUGGGCAGAUCACUUGAGGUCAGGAGUUCAAGUCCAGCCUGACCAACAUGAUGAAACCCCUUCCCUACAAAAAUACAAAAUUAGUGAGUCCCUGUCUCAAAAAAAGAAAAAAAAAAAAAGAGCUGUGCUAUAAAAAAUGCCUUAAAACAUUUAGUUGUAUAACACCAAGCAAGUUUGAACAAAUUAUGUAAUAUUCAUUCAAUGAACAAGAGACCCUUUCUCUGCAAUAGGAAAUUUGAUAAUCUUCCCAUGACUAAAAAAAAAAAAAAAAAAAAAAAAAAAAAAAAAAAAAUCUACAGCUUACCGCUAUGUACAGAAUAACCUGUCGUGUCUUUGGUCUGUCAUAGAAGGUUUUCCUAACCUGAUGCUGACAGCCUCUUCUGUUCCCCUAUUUGCAGUCUACAUUCCAGCUACAUUAUUCUACGUUUAAUUUCCCCAAAGGUCAGCUAGAUGAUUUCUGCAUCCUCAUAAUGUUCCCUCUGUCUGAACAGUUUCAACUAUCCUGAUCACCUGAUUACUUGCUUUGUAAUAUUCGGUUCAAUACGUCUUGUAUGAAAGAUCUGACUUCACCUCCUUCCUUCCCUCAAAUAUAAAUUCAACUCUUCACCAGCUUCUCUUUCUCCCAUAUCUCCAGUCUGCUUUGAGCUGCCAGCAGUCCCCUAAUGCAGAUUUUUAUCCUACUUCUACAGUGCUUCAUUUCUUUCAUCACUCCUGUCUCCUUCAACUAGAUUCCAAACUUCAUAGACAGGAAAUUUGUCUUAGGCAUCUAUUAUCACCAAGGUAUAGCAUGAUAUCUGGCACAUCAUAUAAAAUUGUUAAAUGCUUGAUGAAUGAAGAUGGUGAAAUACUUCUCCUAACCCAAGCACUUGAAGAAACACGCUAUCUAAUUAUAUUGCCUUUAAAAUAACAUAGAUGUCACCCUGAUUUAAGACAAUUUUAAUUAUUAUUUAACAAAAUUUUCUAAGAUUUUUCAGUGUUCCAAGAGCAUCUUCAAAUAUUUACAAUAAUCCAUAACUAUCAUUGAUUUUACAUCAGAAACGCUAUCUUUAAUUUAUGGCACUCUUAAUUGCUCUUUUUCUCCUCAUUUAAAAAAUUAAAACAUCGAAAAACAAAGCAAUUUCCAUCCUUUUAUGGAGGCUGAUAUGUGCAAAAAAUAUAAAGAUUCUGCUAUUACAACCUGUUUCCCCAUUUAUUGACAUCAAAAUACAAUUUAAAAACAACACUAUCUGCUUAGGUUUAAUUAGCUCUUUUUUUCCACAGCCAUAAACAGGAAGGUUAAAAGUUUGGUCAGACGGAUGAAAAGGGGGACAAUAUGGUGGACACCAAAUAAACUUUAAAAUUCUCUAAUUUGGGAUUACACAAAUCCUAAAGUCUUUAAGUUCACAGCAGAACUUAAAAAUACAUUAGGCAUAUUUUGACAUGUUCACCAGUACUUAAGCAUCUUAAAAUUGUAGAUAUUUUAUUUGAAACAUAUAUUUGAUUAAGGACAAAUUGCCAAAUCUUUGAACAUCCAACAAAGUGAUCAAUUAUUUAAUUGUUUUAGAAACCUGGGCACAGAUACAAUCCUAGAUGGUUGAUUAGUCCUAACUUAAUUUUUGCCCUUAAAAUAGUUUAUGCAGUUUGAAGCUUGUACAUAAAUAACAGGGAGAAGCUAUACUGAAAAGAUUUCAUUUCCAUUAAAUCCAAGACACAUUUAUUUGCAGGAAGUUGCAUAUAUGACUAAUUUGCAGUUAUUAAUAUGGUUGAAUAUAAAUAUAGCAAAUUUUCAUUGGGAGAAAACUUGGAAAACUGAAAAGCAUAGAAAAAAAUAAAUAAAAUUAACUUAUUCCAAGAAAAUUACUGAUUUUUUUUUUUUUUUUUUAAAGAGACAAGGUCUCCUACUGUCACCCAGGCUGUGGUGCAAUCAUAGCUCACUGCAACCUCCAAACUCGUGGGCUCAAGUGUUCUUCCCACCUCAGCCUCCCAAGUAGCUAGGACUACAGGUGUGCACCAGUAUGUCUGGCUUUUUUUUUUUUUUUUUUUUUAAUGGAGUCUCUUUCUGUCACCCAGGCUGGAGUGCAGUGGUAUGAUCUCGGCUCACUCCACCACUGCAACCUCCGCCUCUUCUGUUCAAGGGAUUCUCCUGCCUCAGCCUCCUGAGUAGCUUGCACUACAGGUGCACGCCACCACACCCAGGUAAUUUUUGUAUUUUUAGUAGAGGCAGGGUUUCACCAUGUUAGCUAGGCUGGCCUCAAACUCCUGACCUCAAGUGAUCUGCCCACUUUGGCCUCUCAAAGUGCUGGGAUUACAGGCAUGAGCCAUGGCACCGGCCCUAAUUUUUUUUUU